AGAGUUUGAUCCUGGCUCAGGAUGAACGCUAGCGACAGGCCUAACACAUGCAAGUCGAGGGGCAUCGAGGAUUAGCAAUAAUUUGUCGGCGACCGGCGCACGGGUGAGUAACACGUAUGCAACCUGGCUUCAACACUGGAAUAACCCGUUGAAAGACGGCCUAAUACUCGAUAAAACAGGGACCCCGCCUGGGGAUAUUUGUUAAAGAUUUAUCGGUUGAAGAUGGGCAUGCGUAUGAUUAGCUAGUUGGUGAGGUAACGGCUCACCAAGGCAGCGAUCAUUAGGGGUUCUGAGAGGAAGGUCCCCCACACUGGUACUGAGACACGGACCAGACUCCUACGGGAGGCAGCAGUGAGGAAUAUUGGUCAAUGGGCGCGAGCCUGAACCAGCCAAGUCGCGUGAAGGAAGACGGCCCUACGGGUUGUAAACUUCUUUUGUAAGGGAAUAAAUAGUCUUACGUGCUAAGACGUUGCAGGUACCUUACGAAUAAGGAUCGGCUAACUCCGUGCCAGCAGCCGCGGUAA
rnacentral:rRNA from 1 species